AUGCCAAAGCGGCCGCGGAAAUGUGAGCAUGGCGGCGGCCCUGAGCGACUUUACCUUGUCUUUGACGACUGGUGCCAUGGAUAUAGCAUCCGCAUGGUAAACUUGUUGCCCGGCGAGAACCAUCAGCAGACUGCUUUCUCAGACCAAGACGACCAAGACAAGGUGCCACAUUUUCCUCGGCCUUUCUUCCGCAUGGUGGCGCCUCGUGAAUCUCCUAAGUACUUCACAUCAGCCUUUGGCACCAGGAUCUUGGCGAUGCAUCCGAGAGAUCCCGAGGGUGACUUGUUGGAAGGUUACUUCCCCAUGUUGGACGUCCGCUCGCGGUGCGUCACCACUGGCCCUGGGCAGAGAAAUCUUUUUCAUCCCAUCUACCACCUCCCGGUCGGCAACAAGCUAUUCACUAUGAGCUCUUACUCCUUCGAGAUGCUCUGCUUGGAGGAGCUCUCAGCCAAGGUAUCGCAUCGAAAUUCCAGCAAAGAGUGGUCGUGGAAAGAGCUCGAGCAGCAGCCAUUUAAUGUUUGUGACGUCACUUCCUACUCCUUGCACCCUGAAGAACGGACCUUCCUCAUCAGCACCAAGAAGGACACCACCGAGGCCACCUUCAGCUUUGACACGGAGAGGCAUUCAUGGAAACUACUUGGCAAUUGGGUUCUGCCCUUUGACGGCCAGGGUCACUUUGACCAGCACCUCAAGGCCUUUGUUGGGCUCUCCAAAGAACCGGACACCCUCGGUCAAAUUUACUGCUGCGACGUGCCCAUCUAUGGUACCCCUGAAGGGCGGUGCCCUGUCCCUUCGAUGAAUCUCUGCAAGGAGAAUCUGUUCGUUUCUGGUGACCCAAUGGAUAAGCAUGUAGGUGCUACCCUUGUCUAUAUGGGAGGCGUGAGCAAAUUCUGUCUCGUGCAGUGUGUCAACAAGGAGGUGAGGGAUCCUGGUUUGAGCCUACCUGGUUCCUGGAUGUAUCGUUUGACAACAUUCUCUCUCAGCCUGGACGAUCAGCGUAAAGAACUGACGACUGGCGGUACCUGUCACUCGCAGUACUACAAAGUGCCCAAAGCAACCACCAAGUCGUUACUCGUUCAAGAUCCUGUGGCAUUUUGGAUGUAG
rnacentral:rRNA from 1 species